UGGUUUUACGGUGUUUGGCAGCUUGAAAAUAUUUUACACUUGGAAAAUGGAUUCCAAGACACGGGUAAAAUGACUUGCAAUUUGGGGAAAAUCUCUUACCGAUUUCUUUUCAGUAAGACAUUUUCCAUCUCCUUCAUCCAGGCAAUACACGCUGCUAUUUCGUCUUUCUCAGGCAAAGCUCUUUUUUAGGCAAAGAAGAACCUUUCUAUGGAAUCCAUUGAUUACCCAUUUGGAGAAGAGUAAGCAAUGUUCCCAUGAUCUGUUUGAAAUUGAGACAGUUGAGGAUGAAAAAUCUGACUUGCAAAACAGACUCAGAGAAGAGAUUGAAGGUAAUACCAAACUAAGCCAGUGUGGAAAAACGAAAGAAGACAUUGCAAGGGUGUCAACUAUGUCUUGAGAAAGAAGUAGCAAUAUUAAAGGAAGAGUUGCAAAGGGAGAGAGAUAAGAGGACAACUUUGGAAUCCGUUCUUAACUCAUCUCAAGAACAACCCACAGCUCUACCAGCUAAGAUUGACGAAAAGAAAAAGGCAGAUCUUAAUGACAUAGCUCUAGCAGAGGCAGAUAUAAUUAAUUUGAAAAAGAAGGUUGAAGAUCUGGAGGUGCAGCUUAAUCAACAGCUUGAGAAAAAAUCUACUUCCAUGAAUGAUUCAUGCAGUCAACGUCAACCAAAUCAUCAUGCAAAAAAAGAGGAUAAGCCAAAGGGUACUGGAGCUGUUGUUAAAGAGUCAGGAAGCAAGGCAAACUCACAUUCAUUUGAGACAACAUGCAGUACUGUAGUUUACUAGAAAACGAAUGGAAUUGAUCCUGUUGUUUUACUUUGAUGAUUGUAUUCCAUUUUCUCCAAAAUCCAAAUAACUCUACCUAUUUAUUGAAUUUUUGAGUGUUUGCCUUAGUUGUUGCUUAUGGAUGUAUGAAGAUUCUUGAUGCACUUACCUCAAAGAGAAAUUGUGAUUGUGAAAGUUGAUGUGGAAAGCUGACGAAAAAAUUGGACAGGCUCCGAGGGAUGUGAUCAGUUAUAUGGUUGAAUUUAUUUUAAAAGAAAAAUCGAAACCCCUCGUUUCAACUUUGUCUUAACCGAUCAGGAUGAGCUGCAGUUUUUUGUUAUGAUGUGGAUAUCGAGUGUUGGGUUUAAAUGAUUGCUUGAUCUUAGCUUGGACUCACACUAACUUAGACUCAACUAUUAGUAUUUAAGGUGAAUUUUUUCUUUAAUUUUUCUUUCAUUUGUUUUCUUGAUCAUAGUUAAUCCUUGAAGAAAUUAUUGCUGAAUAAUAAACAAGAUUGGUUUAAUUCUACAGCAAAAAAAUAAAAGCAAUCCUUUUCUUAGCCUUUAUUUACUUUUGUUAGGAUUGAGCUCUGACUAGAUAUUUUGUUUUGGGUUUAAUUAUUGAUUCAUCCUUUUUUCUAUUAUUUCUUCUUCGCCUUUAUUUACUUUAUUAGGAUUGAACUUUGAUUAGAGAUUUUGUUUUGGGUUUAAUUGUUUAUUCAUCUUUUUUCUAUUAUUUCCUGGCAGCUCCUUUGUUAGUGAAUGUUGUUUCUAUGUUAGUUUAUUGUACGUUUUAGAAAGAUCAAAAAUCAGGGAGCUUGGGUUGUGUUAUUUAAUCAAGAAUUGAGAAGAGAGGCUAGAAAAUAAUAGAAGAAAAGAAGGGAAUCUGAGUGUGUUUAUGUACAGUAUCUGAUAAUAACUCCUUAGCUAAUAGCUGAAAGUAAUGACCAAUAAGAAAUUAAGACUUGGCCAAUAUAUGAUCUGUGUGGUUACAAAAGGGAAUUUAAGCUAACUUUCAUCUCAGCAGGUUGCUAUGCUUGAUUCUCUCUCCCUUUAGCUCUUUUUGUCAAUUUCCUUCUUGUUCUAGGUUGCAUUGCCUAUAACCUCGGAACCGGCAGUGGUACAUCUGUGCUUGAAAUGGUUGUUGCUUUUGAGAAAGCUUCUGGAAAGAAAAUCCCCAUUAAACUAUGUCCCAGAAGGCCAGGAGAUGCUACAGCUGUUUAUGUUUCCACUGAAAAAGCUCAAAAAGAACUUGGUUGGAAAGCAAAAUAUGGUAUAGCAGAGAUGUGCAGAGAUCAGUGGAAGUGGGCAAGCAACAAUCCAUGGGGAUACCAGUCAAAGCCUUAGGCUGCAACUAAAUACUAAUUUUCUUCCCUAGUCUUUUAAAAAUGUCUCAUAGGGAGAAUUAAGUGUACAAAUACUUGUUUAAUUUAAACAAAACUGAUCUUUGAUGACCAAAAGUUUGGAUUUAUCAAAUGUUCAAAGAUCUUAUAAAAUUCCUUUGUGUUACAUUUAUAAGUCUUUGUAAGAGUGAUGUUUUUAUCA